UCAUUACAGAAUGAAAGUGCUUAACUGCAUUUUUUUUACACAUGUGUUUUUCUUUUUUUUUGAAAACUUUGCUUUGGUGGGCCNCAUGGCCUGCCAGAGAUUAAACUCAACCAAAUUUUUAUUUAAGUCAACUGAUUAACUAAUANGAUAUUCGUGAAUCAUCGAAUCUUUGAACGCACAUUGCGCCCUUUGGUAUUCCAAAGGGCAUGCCUGUUUGAGC
rnacentral:misc_RNA from 1 species